rnacentral:tRNA from 1 species
GGCUGGGUAGCUCAGCUGGUUAGAGCGGUGGAUUCAUAACCCACAGGUCGACGGUUCAAGUCCGUCUCCAGCCACCA